GAAGCCAUCAAUCACAGCUUUCUCUGUAACUGCACUGCGCCUCCAUGCUCACCCUGCCCUACUCAAACAGGAAUUCAUUUCUGCACCCCCUACCUGUCUUUGACUUUCCCACAACCGCAAAAUACUCCAUCCAUUGUGGCCAGUGGUGAGAAGCUCAACAACACUGUGACACAGCAAUGUGUGGUACUGUACUAUCUUCAGAUCCGGGCAGAAGAGUGAGGACAAUUCCCAGUCAGCCACAUGAUCACAACCACAAUGAUCCUGCCAGUUUUGCCAAGGAAAUGUUUGUGCUGCAAAUAUCCCACGGAUAUGAGAAAGUUAUUUAAGUGAUUUUAAAUCUCAAUGUCUCCAUUAAUAAAAUGAAGAUAAGAUGUUGGGCUUGAUCCAAGGCCCUGAUGAUGCAAAGACAUAUUAAGG
rnacentral:lncRNA from 1 species